rnacentral:sRNA from 1 species
AUGGCUGUCGUCAGCUCGUGUCGUGAGAUGUUGGGUUAAGUCCCGCAACGAGCGCAACCCUUAUCCUAUGUUGCCAGCGCGUAAUGGCGGGGACUCGUGGGAGACUGCCGGGGUCAACUCGGAGGAAGGUGGGGACGACGUCAAGUCAUCAUGCCCCUUAUAUCCAGGGCUGCAAACAUGCUACAAUGGCCGGUACAAAGGGCUGCUAUACCGCGAGGUGGAGCGAAUCCCAUAAAGCCGGUCUCAGUUCGGAUUGGAGUCUGCAACUCGACUCCAUGAAGUCGGAGUCGCUAGUAAUCCCGGAUCAGCAACGCCGGGGUGAAUACGUUCCCGGGCCUUGUACACACCGCCCGUCACACCACGAAAGUCGGCAACACCCGAAGUCAGUGGCCUAACCCUCACGGGGAGGAGCUGCCGAAGGUGGGGUUGGCGAUUGGGGUGAAGUCGUAACAAGGUAGCCGUACCGGAAGGUGCGGCUGGAUCACCUCCUUUCUAAGGAGUACGCCUCACCAGAGGCACCUGCGACACCCUUUCCUUACGGAUCGGGUCGGUCAGGGACUCCCAGUUGAUGCACCAGCUAUUCGGACUCGAAGGCACGAACACAGCCGUAGAUCUCGGUCUCCUGCGUUUGUUUCCCGGAGAGUCCGUCGUCCUCUGUUCCGUUUUGAGGGAGCGCCCAUGGGCCCCGACCUCGGCAGCGAUGCCGGCGCCGGGGCCUUUGUCACGCCCUCAGGCGAUCGGUCCGUUCCCCUCGAGCUCCGCUCGAGCGCACGGACAUCGACCUCUGGCUACUACGGCCAGCAGCGCCCCUUGAGAAUUGCAUAGCGAGCACGAGCAUCUUUGUUUCUUCCAAGCUACAAAGAGCCAACGGUGGAUGCCUUGGCGUCUACUACCGAUGAAGGACGUGGGUGGCUGCGAUAAGCCACGGGGAGCCGCCUACCAGGCUUUGAUCCGUGGAUGUCCGAAUGGGGAAACCCGG